rnacentral:lncRNA from 1 species
GGGAAGGCCUAGAAAGGGGGAGGUGAGGCUGGUGCAGGGCAAAACCGGCGACUUCACUGAACCCUUCUCUCGCUUGGCUUCUUCUCUGGGUGGGAGAGGACCCCAGGUCUGGUGGUGCUGGUGGCAUCAGGAACCUCAUGGGCGUGAGGAGCAGCCGCUGGGCUGGGAGCUGUGCUCCCCGGGCUCUCCCCCCGCCGCCCCUCUCCGAGCUGUUAAAUAUCUGUACCAUAAAACGUGGGGGAUUUAAAGGUCUGUGGGAGGCUCCCUUUGAAAAGGACUCUGGGGAAAGUCUUUCUAAUCCAGGAUACUUGAGCCGGAUGGGGUGGGAUUGCCAGAAGAGGCAUAAAAUAAAAGUCGUUGCGCAGACGAGCCGAGGGGCUACGCUGACACGAAGAAAGCGCCGUCGCCUCAGCGUUCUGUUUUGUUUUGUUGGAGACUGGGAUUUCUGGUGUGCUGGUGCCUGUGUGGAGAGUCCUGAGCCCGGCAGGAGAGUGGCAGAAAUAGAGAGGGCUGGGGGGGACGGUGGGGACAGGCAUGUGAGCCAACCUGCAGCCCCCCGGCCCGGGCGGCCUGAGCACCAGUGGGCAGAGAGAGCACGUCAGAAAAAUAAACGCUCCUCCAGAAACAUAAGGAAAACAUUAAAUAAGCAGGGAGUGCGCUCCCUCUCCUCUCCUCUCCUCUCCUCUCCUCUCCUCUCCCUGACAAAACGUGGCCCAGAAACUCCUCCGGCUCCUUCUCCGGCCCCGUGUCCCGGCCGCCGUGGGGAUGCGUGGGGCAGGCGUGUUGGGAGAUGGCCAUGGGUCGCCCAAGAGCCCCGGCUAAAGCCCCCCGUGGAGGGUUUGCCAGCCCAGGGCCAGCAGUGGGGCAGGGCAGGGCAGGAGGAGAGCCCCACCGGGGGGAGAGGCUGCUGGAUGGCCGUGGGAGAGGGGCAGAGGGGAGAAAACAAAAGCUGCUCCUUGGCUGGAGAGGGGAUGGGAGAAGAGGGAAGGCGAGAGGAUGCUGGAGAGCCUGGUUACCCUCCAUUGAGGGGGGGGAAACACCCCACAACAAUAACAACCCGAACCCAUAAACAGUUUCUGCCUUUCCGCGAUAAAAGGAGCAGAUUUAUGUUGCAAGGAGCCCGUUCCAGCUCAAAACCCCGGGCUGCAGCACUGUGUUUGUGUGGCUCAUCCCCAUGAGGUAUGGGUGGCAGAGUUCAGGCUGACAUCAGUCCUGGGGAGUCAGAGCCAGCGGCCGGGCUGGGCUGCCCAUGGGCCAGUGGCCGGGGGGCUACCAGCAUGGGGGGCACCCGGCUGGUAAAAUACCCCGCCUCUGGCCACUCCCGGGGCCGUGAGGAGCCGACAGCAGCACACACGGCUGAGGGAGCUGGAUGUGGG